UCGAACGAGCGAGAGAGAGCUUGCUUUCUCGAGCGAGUGGCGAACGGGUGAGUAACACGUAAACAACCUGCCUUCAGGAUGGGGACAACAGACGGAAACGACUGCUAAUACCGAAUAAGUUCCAAGGGCCGCAUGGCCCUGAGGUAAAAGGAGCAAUCCGGUCUGGGGUGAGUUCGCGUCCGAUUAGCUAGUUGGCGAGGUAACGGCCCACCAAGGCGACGAUCGGUAGCCGACCUGAGAGGGUGAUCGGCCACAUUGGAACUGAGAGACGGUCCAAACUCC
rnacentral:rRNA from 1 species